rnacentral:rRNA from 1 species
UACAGAGGUCUCAAGCGUUGUUCGGAUUCAUUGGGCGUAAAGGGUGCGUAGGUGGCGCCGUAAGUCAGGUGUGAAAUUUCGAGGCUUAACCUCGAAACUGCAUUUGAUACUGCGGUGCUUGAGGACUGGAGAGGAGACUGGAAUUCAUGGUGUAGCAGUGAAAUGCGUAGAUAUCGAGAGGAACACCAGUGGCGAAGGCGAGUCCCUGGACAACGACUGACACUGAGGCACGAAAGCUAGGGGAGCAAACAGG